AUUCCUUAAUCAGAAUUUUUAUGAUAAUUUGAAGAAAUGAGAAGCAAAUAGAGUUGCCAAAUCUGUCCACUCUUGAAACUGGAAGAAUUGAGGGGAGUAAUUGGGUGCAAAAUAAACAUAUGUUCACAAGUAAUUGUACUACCACUAUUAAAUUUCUUUCAUUUGGUAAUAGAUAGUAAUUACUUUAAUUUCAAGGGAAAGAGAAGAUUACAUCCUGCAAAACUUUUUCAUGCAAAAUAGUCUAUCCUCCUGUCAGCGAUCCUGCUUAUUUUAAAGUGUCUGCUUGCUUGAGAAAAGGUUUGUCAAAUCAAGUCUUUAAAUGGGAGAGGGGAUUAGGAAACAACAAACAAAAUCCAGCUUGCAGUGGGAGUUAACUUUUGGGGGUGUAGGACAGCAAAUGGACAAUGAAUCAUCAUCUUUUCAGUAUUCGGUGCUAUCAAAACUGUUUUCCUUCCAAGUAGUCCUUUAUUGGCAGAAAAUUUGUGAGUCAGUGAAGGAAAAUGCUAUGGUAAAAUACACAAAAAGAAUCUUGUGCCAAAACCCAAAGUUAAGGCAUAUAUCUGCUACAGGUUUAGGAAAUGAUGAGGAUAAACUGGAAAAGUGUUUCUGUGUUUAAAAAGCCUAAUUGUAACUGUGUAUAUCAGUCUCUUGUCUGUUUUGUACAGCUGCUGGUGCUGUCUCACUGGCAUUUUUGAAAUAAACUGUAUUUUUACAAAAGUCACUAUUUUGGUUUGGGAUAUAAGGAAUAGUUAUUAGUUUUAUGGGUAGGAAAUCUGGAUAUAAUAAUUUUCACUUUUAAAUAAGCUGCUUCAUUCUGUAUGUAAAACAAAACAGCUUCAAUAUGCUUGGGUUUGUAAUUAACAAAUGUUGAGUUGAUCAAAAAUACCUUCUCUAGUACGAUGCAUGGAGAUGAGGCUAGGCUGUGUUACAGAAUAAUGUGAUUAUAAUGAUUUCCUUAAGAGAGCACAAAAGCAGCAUCUAAGUUUCAGCUGACGUUUAUUGACACACAGCAUCCGUUGGGAGCCCCAUCAAACUUCCUAUUCUUUUCUGUUUACCACCUCCUGCUUUUAUUUACAGUCAGCAUAUCUGUUAAUUAGCCUCUGGUAGAGCCAGUUCUUCUAAGAAGAUCUCUUGUCUUCCUGGUGAUGGCCCCAUGAGGUGACCAUGUACACACAGUCUGUGAGUGAAUUAAUCUUUAACUCAUUAAUUUCAGUGCCUGAUUCUGGAAUGUUUAAGUGCUGGCUUGGUUUCCUGCUCAGCAAUUUGUAUUUGGAGAAUUGUGGUUCUUGACUUCCACUGACUUCAAUGUCGUGAACACAUCCGAGUGAGCUUUCAGCUUCUUGUGGUUACCCUACUGAAAGUCUUAUAUUCUUGUGGUUUUUUGGUUUCCUAUGAUUGGACCAGAAUGGAGAUAAGACAUUGGUAACUUCUCUGUGUCAUUGCAGUUAUUUACCUAGUUUUCUUUGCACUUUUGCGGAAUAAAAUUACUCUGCCCCUUCCUCAGCUACCUCUGUUGCACAAUAACUGAAUGAAACAUUUUCGAGAAAAAAUCUGAUAUAACGUUGCGACAGCUGAAUCUCACAAGAGGGUACUCAGUAGGGUACCACACUGUUUUACAGAAUCUCAGUUAGACCUUAUUUGUUUAUAGCCACAGUCUGAAUGCUAGAAGUGCUAGUUGUAGUGCACUUCUCUCGCAGCAUGGCUUGUUUAUUAGAAAAGAAAAAAGUUGCAGCUAUAUUUGCAGGAAGAAUUCGGGAGCAUGAUUCAGAGAUCUCUCGCCCAGGCCUACUGUGUGUGCUAGAAGUGCUUUGAGAGGUGUGAGCUGAUCUGUUCGUCUCACUGGGGUGUUACAAAUCUCGUAGUUUCAUUGUUAAUGGUUGUGUUUGUUUCACCUGAAACUUGAGAAAGGAAUGACUGGGCCACUUAUCUGCACAGUCAACUGUAGGAAAUGUCUUAAAGUGAUGACCCAGUUCCUCACUUUUGCCAGAUGGCAUUUAUUCCUUCUAUGUCCUCCAGCUGAGGAGUAGCCAAACUCUAAAGAUUUAACCAUAAGUUACAGGCACCCUUGAAAUCCUGCCCAGAGCAAGUGCAAGUAUUGAAAACCAUAAAGUGCACUGUAGUAGGGUGAACAUUUUCAUAAUUUAAUGAGUGCUUCACUGAUAAAAAUUCCCUGCUUCAGUUAAAAAAACCCCAAACCAAUAACAAUAAUAAUAAUAAUAAUAACAAGAAAAAAAGCCCAAACAACAGCAUCAUCCCUGGAAUUUGUCCAACUUUUAUGCUGGAGAAGUACCUCAAAGGAGUAUGACGUUCUCUCUUUAGUGUGUGAGUAUAUGUGUUCAUCUAAAAGAUUUUAUGCUUGCAGGACUGCAUCCCAUUGUCUACUUUUUGUGGAUAGGCAGACCCAGGUAAAGUAAUUUAGUUUAAAAAGAACUAUAAACCCUAAUUCCUUUAAAUCAAAUUCCUAAGACAUCCAAGUGUCCAGGAUGCUGUGAAAAGAGACACAAAAAUGAGAAAUAGAAGGUGAAUGUUUGCUACUGAUUGCUCUUGUCUUUGGAGGUUUAGUGCUGAUGCAGUGUUGUGACAAAAAAUCAAUGAAUGAAAGUUUCUGCCACCUUGUAAGUAGCCAAGGCUGAACUGAUCUGUUAAUGUUUCAUGGGGAAAGUUGACAAUGAGGGGAAACAGUGGGUGAUAUUUCUUCAAAACAUGUUAGCUGCUUUUACUUAUUUUGUCGUUUAAGGAUAGAAAGAUAAGAGAUGCUAGAAAUAGUUUCUAGAAUUGGGUGGCCCUUCACCAGUGUUUUAUAGGUACUAUUUAAGCCAUCUUUGCUAAGGAGAAGCUCCUUUACUAUUAAUAUGCUGUCAUCUUUCAGAUCUCAUCAAGGCAGCACCAGAAUUUUUUUGCACAGAUUUCCUUUGACAUACAGCCUCAAUAAAUAUGGAAAUUACAGCUUAAAUCUCAUUUUUUUUCUUGCAAAGCAGCACAGUGCCUAAAUUCAUUGAAUUUCAACUUUUAUUUUUUCUUAAUGUUGAAAGACAUAUAUGCAAAUUUUAUUAACAAUAUGCAUGGUUAAAUUUAGCUGUAAACUCCAGUCAGGGAUUUUUGCUUUGUUUAUUGUCCAAGUCAAUAUGACUGUGGAGAAAACCUCCUGCUGUGCAGGAAUACACAGUCAGCUACUUGGAAAAGUGGAAAGUUUAAUUAUGAGAGUUUAUUCUGAAAAAAGGUAAAACAAGCACUGUUUUUUGGGUUGACUUUUUUUAUUAUGACUUCAGGUAGCAGAAGUACAACACACGCAGUUUAUUUUGACAGUAACUGUUCUCAGACAAACCAUUUGAUUUUUCUUUAACCCGGUCAUCUGUGUAACUGAGGGGUUCUGAAAGAGAAGUCAUGAAUAAAUGAUGCAUUUCUUAAACUUGCAAGGUAGAUAAUGACAUAAAUGAAAUAAAAUCCAAGUGUGAAGGGAAAAAAGAAGCAUGAACACAUGUAUUGCUGACAAUAUCUUCAUUAAAAUAUACUUUAUCCUAGGAAGAUAUUAGUGUCAGGUUGCCUGAAAGAUGCAAAUUUCCUUUGUUGCUCUCUCUAAAGUUGUUUUGAUUUUUGUCCACGGUAACAGUGAAAUACGCUUAUACAAGGUUUUUGAGUGGAAGGGUAAAUUAUUGCUGGAGAAUGUGUGUUAUAAAUGAUAUCCAAACAUAUUCUCAUGUUUAUAAUAGAAAGCUUUCCAAGACUGUAGUUACUGGAGUGGUUCCCAUGUGUUCAGUUUUUUGUAAGUCGUUUACAUGGAAUACAUUUUAUCUAGCUGUCUAAAAGACCCCCCACUGCAUGCAAAGAAGGUGUUUCUCCUGCUUAUCUGGACUGUACAUAAUACUGUAAUAAUCUGUAUUUCUCCUUGUAAUUCAGUGCAUAUUUCUCCUUUCUAAGCCUGUUCAAAUGUAACAUGAAGAGUGUUUUCAUGAUAAUUCUACUAUGGAUGAUAGUAACUAUAUUCUAAACCAAAAAAUUAAAAAAAAAAUUUUGUAUGGCUAAUAUUUGGGUUGCAUGACUUUCAUCAGAUGUGAAAUCAUAUUCUUUUUUUCUUUGCAUCUGUGUAGGACUGAUCCAUAACCUGAGCUAGUAGGUUCUACAGUAAUACAAAUGGUACAUGAUAAUUGUGUGUGAAGAAAGGCUGGCAGCUUUACAGAAGAAAUCUCUGAACCUGUAGGCACUCGUAUAUUUUUACUUAGCAAUAAGAACUAAUGUUACUCUGUGGACAGUGUAAGCUGGAGUAAACAGUAGAUAUGAUGUAGAAGAUAACUAUCAGCUCUGGAGAGAAACC